UGCAGUCGAACGGUAACAUUUCUAGCUUGCUAGAAGAUGACGAGUGGCGGACGGGUGAGUAAUACUUAGGAAUAUGCCUUUGUGUGGGGGAUAACUAUUGGAAACGAUAGCUAAUACCGCAUAACGUCUUCGGACCAAAGGGGGCUUCGGCUCCCGCGCAAAGAGUAGCCUAAGCGAGAUUAGCUUGUUGGUGAGGUAAAGGCUCACCAAGGCGACGAUCUCUAGCUGUUCUGAGAGGAAGAUCAGCCACACUGGGACUGAGACACGGCCCAGACUCCUACGGGAGGCAGCAGUGGGGAAUAUUGCACAAUGGGGGCAACCCUGAUGCAGCCAUGCCGCGUGUGUGAAGAAGGCCUUCGGGUUGUAAAGCACUUUCAGUUGUGAGGAAAGGUUGAUGGUUAAUACCCAUCAGCUGUGACGUUAGCAACAGAAGAAGCACCGGCUAACUCCGUGCCAGCAGCCGCGGUAAUACGGAGGGUGCGAGCGUUAAUCGGAAUUACUGGGCGUAAAGCGCACGCAGGCGGUUAUAUAAGCUAGAUGUGAAAGCCCCGGGCUCAACCUGGGAAUAGCAUUUAGAACUGUAUGACUAGAGUCUUGGAGAGGGGAGUGGAAUUCCAGGUGUAGCGGUG
rnacentral:rRNA from 1 species